rnacentral:rRNA from 1 species
UUCGCAGGCGGUUUUUAAGUCAGGUGUGAAAGCCAUAGGCUCAACCUAUGUAAGCACUUGAAACUGGAAGACUUGAGUUAAGGAGAGGAAAGUGGAAUUCCUAGUGUAGCGGUGAAAUGCGUAGAUAUUAGGAGGAAUACCAGUGGCGAAGGCGACUUUCUGGACUUAUACUGACGCUGAGGAACGAAAGCGUGGGGAGCAAACA